CCUACGGGUGGCAGCAGUGAGGAAUAUUGGUCAAUGGCCGCAAGUCUGAACCAGCCAAGUCGCGUGCAGGAUGACUGCCCUAUGGGUUGUAAACCUCUUUUGUACGGGGGUAAAGCUCGCCACGUGUGUCUGUUUGCAAGUACCGCACGAAUAAGGAUCGGCUAACUCCGUGCCAGCAGCCGCGGUAAUACGGAGGAUCCGAGCGUUAUCCGGAUUUAUUGGGUUUAAAGGGUGCGUAGGCGGUUUUAUAAGUUCGCGGUGAAAUGUCGUGGCUCAACCCCGAAACUGCGUCGCAAACUGUUGGACUAGAGUGUGCGUGAGGUAGGCGGAAGGCGUGGUGUAGCGGUGAAAUGCUUAGAUAUCACGCAGAACACCGAUUGCGAAGGCAGCUUACCGGAGCGCAACUGACGCUGAGGCACGAAAGCGUGGGUAUCGAACAGGAUUAGAUACCCGUGUAGUC
rnacentral:rRNA from 1 species